AAUACCCUUUUUCUAUAAGUUCUCUACUUUCAAUGUAGGAUACAGAAGUCGUCUUUCUUUCUUCUCAAUCAGAGUCUAACUUCGGACUCACGACAGAGAUUGCUCCAACCUCAUCCGAUCAAAAUCGUUCAUAAAGUUCAUUUGUGGGUUUGAAGGGUUAAAGAAGUGUUUUGACUAUAUUACGGAGAUUCCGCAAGGAUAUAUAACUCGUCUGUCUUUCUUCUCGAUCAGAGUCUAACUAUGGACUCAUUGCAGAGAUUGCUCCAACCUCAUCCGAUCAAAAUCGUUCAUAAAGUUCAUUUGUAGGUUUGAAGGGUUAAAGAAGUGUUUUGACUACAUUACGGGAGAUUGCGCAAGGUACGAAAAAAACAAAAAAUUCAAUUGUUUAUUUAUGAUUGUUUGGAUUACUUAAAAAUGAUUGAAUCACUAGAUAUGAUGAAAUUGUAUGCUUAAUCCAAGGAAUUAAAUUGAUUGAGAAUAUCAAUUUGAUAAAUGAGGUAUAUGAAAAUUGUGUUAGUAUGAUUGUGCUCUUAGGUUGAUGGGAAAUUUAGAAGAAUUUGAAUGAAACUAACUAAGUUUGUAAGAAUUAGUCUCUACUCUUACUUUUGAGAAUGUUUUGAAAUCAAAUGAAAUCAAAAGAAGGAGAGAAAAAAAGUACCGAUUAGAACUAAGGGAGCAAACCAAAUUAUUUGCAUUCUUGAUUUUUCUGCAUUAGCAUUGGUCGUAGCAAGAGAGUCUUGGGCG